CGCUAUCACUCCUACGGGAGGCAGCAGUGGGGAAUAUUGGACAAUGGGCGAAAGCCUGAUCCAGCCAUGCCGCGUGUGUGAAGAAGGUCUUCGGAUUGUAAAGCACUUUAAGUUGGGAGGAAGGGUUGUAGAUUAAUACUCUGCAAUUUUGACGUUACCGACAGAAUAAGCACCGGCUAACUCUGUGCCAGCAGCCGCGGUAAUACAGAGGGUGCAAGCGUUAAUCGGAAUUACUGGGCGUAAAGCGCGCGUAGGUGGUUAGUUAAGUUGGAUGUGAAAUCCCCGGGCUCAACCUGGGAACUGCAUUCAAAACUGACUGACUAGAGUAUGGUAGAGGGGUGGUGGAAUUUCCUGUGUAGCGGUGAAAUGCGUAGAUAUAGGAAGGAACACCAGUGGCGAAGGCGGCCCCCUGGACAAAGACUGACGCUCAGAUGCGAAAGCGUGGGGAGCAAACAGGAUUAGAUACCCUGGUAG
rnacentral:rRNA from 1 species